GAUGAAGAACGUAGUGAAAUGCGAUAAGUAAUGCGAAUUGCAGAAUUUCCGUGAGUCAUCGAAUCUUUGAACGCACAUUGCGCCCACUGGUAUUCCGGUGGGCAUGCCUGUUCGAGCGUCAUUAUCCCCCCUCAAACCCCGUGUUUGGUGUUAGACCCAAGUUGUGUGAACAACUGGUCUCAAAGACAAUGACGGCGUCCGUGGGACCCUCGGUGCAACGAGCUUUUAGGAGCACGCGCCGAGUUGCAAGGACCUUCCGGGCCGGUCUCCUUUUACUAUUUUACAAGGUUGACCUCGGAUCAGGUAGGAAUACCCGCUGAACUUAAGCAUAUCAAUAAGCGGAGGA
rnacentral:misc_RNA from 1 species